AACGAACGCUGGCGGCAUGCCUAACACAUGCAAGUCGAACGAGACCUUCGGGUCUAGUGGCGCACGGGUGCGUAACGCGUGGGAACCUGCCCUUAGGUUCGGAAUAACUCCCCGAAAGGGGUGCUAAUACCGGAUAAUGUCUUCGGACCAAAGAUUGAACGCCUUUGGAUGGGCCUGCGUUGGAUUAGCUAGUUGGUAGGGUAAAAGCCUACCAAGGCGACGAUCCAUAGCUGGCCUGAGAGGAUGAUCAGCCACACUGGGACUGAGACACGGCCCAGACUCCUACGGGAGGCAGCAGUGGGUAAUAUUGGACAAUGGGCGAAAGCCUGAUCCAGCAAUGCCGCGUGAGUGAUGAAGGCCUUAGGGUUGUAAAGCUCUUUUACCCGGGAUGAUAAUGACAGUACCGGGAGAAUAAGCACCGGCUAACUCCGUG
rnacentral:rRNA from 1 species